AUAGUACUCCCUCCGUCCGGAAAUACUUGUCCUAGAAAUGAAUAUAAUGAAUGUAUCUAUAACUAANNNAAGUCUAGAUACAUUCAUCUUUAGGAUAAUUAUUUCCGGACUGAGGGAGUAUAUG
rfam:Hordeum vulgare subsp. vulgare, WGS project CAJW01000000 data, contig: morex_contig_46855